CUGAACUGCUUGCUCUUGGGAAACUUCCAGCCUUUCCUUGUCUCCAGGCAAGUCUGUGAAACUGGUUUCUGUUCUCUGUUGCUGGGUAGAUUUCCUCAAAUAGAUUGUGUCUUCAAGGCUUGCAUCAGUGGGCUGAGAGGAAGGGGGAGUGGGGUUAGGGGUCUCUAUAAUCUUUCUUGCUAAGCACACUCUUGCACUCUUCCACCAGAGCCAUUUUAGGCAGAGGGAGGGUGCCCUUUCUUGAGAAAGCUAAUAAAGAAAUCUUUCUCUUUGCUACAUCUGAGUCUCCAGAAUUUAUUGGUAAGGGUCUUCACGUCCCACAUAGUUGUGGGAAAUCCUCCGGGAUUUCACCCCCUUUUUGGGGACUCCCUUAAUUCAGGGGCAGGCGAUGCCAGACUUUACUGGUGGCCUCCAGGUCUCAGCUGAGGAGGGAAAAGCCCGAAGGGAAAUCUCAGAAUAGCAAAAUGAAAGUUCUGCAGCACUGGUAACUAGAAGACCACCAUGGCCACCCAUGUGAAGUGAAGGAAAUUUUCAGUCAUGUAAGUCUGUGGGCACAGACCCAGGUCUGGGAAGGCUUGGAACCCAGCGGGGAUGCCCGUAAGGUGUCGCAAGCCCAGACCGGCAACCCUCUGGGUAACUAGGUUUCCCAGAGUCUAAGCAGAGAGGUCCAUAACACAUGGAGAGAAGUGAAGUCCCCUGAGGAUGUGAGGGAUGGCUCACAGUGAAGUUCCCUCAUUAGUAUCUCCCUGCUACACUCCUAGCUCUCUCCUGCACUCUACCUGAGUGUGAGAGAUGGCCUGCAGUGCAGUUCCCACAGGCCUAAGUUUCCUUCCUCCUGAAAGCCUUGAGUUCAGUUUGCAUUUUCCCCAAAAGUUUCUAUUUCUCCAGCACCAGGUCAGCAUGGGUGGGGGAGCUUGGUUGCCUGGUUGCUCCUAGCUCCUAGUGCACAUGUGCAUCUAGUCCAAACACGGGCAUAUUUGCUUCUAUUGGGUAUUAGUUGCUACUUUUAGAAUGUACACCCUGAGUACCCAGUCAAAGGAGAAAGGGGUAAGAGAGUGAGAGGGGGCAUCGCGUUAGGGGAUAAAAAGCCCAGGGUACAGCUCCCAACUCAUACUCUCCUGGCUGGCAAUGGUGACUAGUGGCGGUACCCUUUCUCAUGAGAAAGCAAUAAACUCCUUUCUGCUUUCAAGGUAUCUUUCAAGUCUUUGUUUUUAUUUUGAGUGGGUGGUCUCUGUCCCACACAGUUGGGGGCUCUCUGGGAUCCCCUUUACUUGGGAAAGGGCCUCCCAGCCAGUCCUAGGACAGGCCCCCACUGGCCACUUACCAGUAGUCUGUGGAGUGGUUUGGGAGUUUCCUUUCCCUUUUAAGGAAUGGACCCGAAGAAAGACAGAUACCUGCAAGCAGAAACAAAAGCAAACAGAGUUCCAACGGUGCUAGCAAAGACAGUAGACAGAGAGAAGAGAGAGAACUGAGUUUUGGACGAUCACAUAAGUUGUGCGCACAUAACCCAGACGAAAGAUCCAGGGAGCCCUGAGAUACUUUUUGGAGCAAGAUCUGCAUGGUCAGUAUGGAGUGUGUCGCCUGCCCUUUUAAAGUGCUACCUAUGGUGUGGAGAGGAAAUUGCUUCAAUGGGCGCUUCAUAAAUGCUGCUUGACUUAACUUCACAGUUGAACUAACUACCUGUGCUGCUAGGAUCCAAGAAGAGAGAACCAGUGACAACAGGAGUGUGAUAUCUUGACUUGUGAGUGAAUUAGAUUCAAGUGAGACAGAACUGUGCAAAGUCUUCAGCUCCACUCUCUGCUCCAGAGUUGUCAGAGUCCAGGGCAAGAGACAGGUCAGCACCGCUGGAGGUGGCCCCAGCUGCAGUGGGAAACCCUCAGAAUUUCCAGCCGGAAUCGAAGGUGCCCAGUAAGUGAGGGGCCUGUACUCUAUCCACUGUGCCACCUGGCCAUCCCACACACAGCCUCUUGAUGAAGUUGAUGCUGCUGCUCCACCUGCAGAGUUAGCAACUGGAUCUCUUGCUGAAGGACAUCAGUUUUCUGCAGGAGCCAGAGAACCUCCACAAUGAAAAAACUAGAAUAUGAG